rnacentral:rRNA from 1 species
GAAAGUAGGAAAGGGCGCAUGGCGGAUGCCUUGGCUCUCGGAGGCGAUGAAGGACGUGAUAAGCUGCGAUAAGUCACGGGGAGGUGCAAAUAACCUUUGAUCCGUGAAUCUCCGAAUGGGACAACCCGAUAUCCUGAAGGGAUAUCACCUCAUCUAGUUGAGGAGCUAACGCAGGGAACUGAAACAUCUUAGUACCUGCAGGAAAAGAAAAUAACAAUGAUUCCCCCAGUAGUGGCGAGCGAACGGGGAAGAGCCCAAACCAUUCAUGUUACGGCAUGAAUGGGGUUGUAGGACCACGGCGUUGCAAGAAAUCUUGUGAGAAGAACAGCCUGGAAAGGCUGACCAGAGACGGUGACAGUCCGGUAUUCGAAGCAAGACGAAGCAUAGUGGUAUCCUGAGUAGCGCGGAACACGAGGAAUUCUGCGUGAAUCUGCCGGGACCAUCCGGUAAGGCUAAAUACUCCCGAGAGACCGAUAGUGGACCAGUACCGUGAGGGAAAGGUGAAAAGCACUUCGAACAGAAGAGUGAAAGAGUACCUGAAACCGUGCGCCUACAAGCGGUCGGAGCACGAAAGUGUGACGGCGUGCCUUUUGCAUAAUGAACCUACGAGUUACCGUAUCUGGCAAGGUUAAGGGUCACGAGACCUGCAGCCGAAGCGAAAGCGAGUCUGAAGAGGGCGUCGAGUCAGUUGCGGUAGACGCGAAACCAAGUGAUCUACCCUUGGCCAGGAUGAAGUCUGGGUAACACCAGAUGGAGGUCCGCACCAAUAAGCGUUGAAAAGCUUCUGGAUGAGCUGAGGGUAGGGGUGAAAGGCUAAUCAAACUUGGAGAUAGCUCGUACUCCCCGAAAUGCAUUUAGGUGCAGCCUUGCGGGUUACUGAUGUGAGGUAGAGCGACUGAUUGGAUGCGAGGGCUUCACCGCCUAUCAAGUCCUGACAAACUCCGAAUGCGCAUCAGUUCUACCGCAGGAGUGAGGGCAUGGGUGCUAAGGUCCGUGCCCGAGAGGAGAAGAAUCCGGACCACCGGCUAAGGUCCCGAAAUGACAGCUAAGUUAAACUAACGAAGUCUGAUUGCUAAGACAGCUAGGAUGUUGGCUUGGAAGCAGCCAUUCAUUUAAAGAGUGCGUAACAGCUCACUAGUCGAGGAGUCGGGCGUGGAUAAUAAUCGGGUAUUAAGUUGUCUACCGAAGCAGUGGGAUCAUUAAUAUGAUCGGUAGGGGAGCAUUCCAGUCAGCGUCGAAGGCGUACCGUGAGGUAUUCUGGAGCGUCUGGAAAAGCAAAUGUAGGUAUAAGUAACGAUAAAGGGGGCGGGAAACCCCCUCGCCGAAAGACUAAGGUUUCCUGAUCAACGCUAAUCGGAUCAGGGUAAGUCGGGUCCUAAGGCUCAGCCGAAGGGCGAUGCCGAUGGCAGAAACGGUUAAUAUUCCGUUACUACCUCCAGGAGUGAUGUGGAGACGCAGUAGUGACAAUGCCGCCAUCUGACGGAAUAGAUGGUUGAAGGGUGUAGAUGUUGAUCUUGGCAGGCAAAUCCACCAUGAGAAUCGAACCUGAUAGUAUGCCGCGUCCCUCGGGACAAGGCAAUAGUGCAUGUAAUCAUGCUGCCAAGAAAAUCCGCUAAACUAAAUCCUGUAGGUACCCGUACCGUAAACGGACACACGUAGUCGGGAUGAAUAUUCUAAGGCGCUUGAGUGAUUCACGGUUAAGGAACUAGGCAAACUGACCCUGUAACUUCGGGAUAAAGGGUCCCUACCCGGUGACGGGAGGGCGCAGAGAAUAGGUCCAGGCAACUGUUUAACAAAAACACAGGGCUGUGCUAAAUCGAAAGAUCCUGUAUACAGCCUGACACCUGCCCGGUGCUGGAAGGUUAAGAGGAGACGUCAUCGUUGAGAGAAGCGUUGAAUUGAAGCCCCAGUAAACGGCGGCCGUAACUAUAACGGUCCUAAGGUAGCGAAAUUCCUUGUCGGGUAAGUUC